ACAACAAUGGCUGCCUGCCUCUUUGAAUCUCUGUCAUCAGAAUCCGCAAUCAGUGCACAGAUUGUGGGUAUUUGGAGGAUAGGGUCCUUUCUGCCCACCCUGGAUCUCACAAGCUGUGAACAGGCUGCUCCAGGAACACAUGCACAGCUGCCUGUUAUGUGGCUGAGGGUUGGGGGAUGGCUAGCUGCUACUGUGCAAAGAGCUGAAGUUAACCACGAUUAACCACCCUUUACCAUCCAAGCCCUCUUCUGGAAGUUGCAAGCCUUCAAUAGCCACCAGAGUUCCAAAAUCGGAACGUCAGACAGAUUCUGCCAGAGCAAUUGUUACAUAGAUGAAUGUCUUUUGCUGCGUCAGUGGUUUGAAGUCAAUAACCAUUGAUACUCUCCUUUGGGACCUCUUGUGCUUACAAAGGCAAUAUUUUGGAAUGAGGGCACACAGUCUGCUGGUGAGUAACUAAGUAUCUCUAAUGAUGGUAGGAAGAAAUGUUACUUUGAAGCUCUGAAAUUCAAAAGAAUUAUUGCUGCUCUGUUCUUUUUAGUAGUUAUUGAAUAAUAAUGGUGCAUAGUUCCCCCAAACACUCAAGAAGUAAAAAAAGGUUAUAUCCAAUAAGAAUUAAAAAAAUUUUUUUUUCUAUAAUACAUCACUCUUGCUGUCUUUGGAAACAAUUUAAAACUGCUGACCCUGUUAAGAGACUUGAUACAACAACACCUUUUCAAAUGAACCUGUUCGUUUAUGUCUAGGUCAGAAAGAUAUGCAGAACUUUAGUUUUCAGCCCAAAUAUAUUCUCAGAUAUAAAAUGUGUUUUACCAUUUCAUCAUCCCUUGCCUUUGGAGUCCUUAGUACCUGGUUGCUUGCUUGGUCUGCGUAAGUGAUGAACAUUGGCCACAUGGUCAGUUAAAAUCUGCUGCCAUGUGUGGCUCACAAGUUUUGGCCUUUCAAUAAUCACUUCCUUACUCUCUUGUCCUCACAUCUUCCUAGAGGCUACAUAGAAUUUAAGAAAAAUCAUAGAGGAUUUGGAUAGCUCCUCAAUCUUUGUCACUGAGGUCUUAGAGUGUCACCACACCUUGGUGUCAAAGACAGCUGGACUGGAUAAUUCUUGAGUCUAAUUGCACAAGGCAAUUUUGCUUUCAUCAUGAAGGUGUAAAUCCUGGUUCCAAGUAGAAACUAUUGGAGAUGCUGGUGACCUCCAGCUGGGCUACAGGGACCUGGAGAUAUGGCCAUUGAAUAUGAACUUGUCUGCUUUAAGGUCUACUUUUAACUUUGGGUAAUUUUUUGCCAAGAGGAAGAAUGAUUCCUGUAGCUGACUAUAAAGUGUGUGGUUAAUAGCUCUCCUUGCCUCAAAAGUGCAUUUUUAUGAUACAGGGUAGAGUUAACGUAUAGAUCGUUUCACCCUUGCUCCUCAUCUGUCCCCCGAAAAGCCUCUUAUAUUGAAACAAGUGGAAUGAACAAAACCUGAUUAGAUGAGACAGCUGCAAUAUGCUUCUGCAGCACCCUGUCAAAACAUUUGUCACACUGUAUUGUAACUUCUUUUUUUAUAUGUCUGUCUUCCUUUCCAUACUGUGACCUUCUUAAAGCGGGGAUUAUGUUUUACUGCUAUUUCUUCAGUGCCUGGCACACGUUCUGUCACAUAGUAUGAUAUUUAACGUGCAAUAAGUGAAUGAACAAGUGAAAAAUAAAUGAAUGAAUGAGCAAAUCUGGAGUGGAUCACUUCAGGAAAUAUUUUGUUAAUGUGUGCUACAGAGAUGUCUCUUAAAUCCACCUGGAAAGCAUGAUGUUUCUCAACCCUGUCAACAAUAAAUGAACAAUAAAUGUAGGACAUGCAUAUGGAUGCUGACAGAACCAGUUGCUUGAACCCGGAAGAAACAUGAUAUGACUGCAGAGCGUGAAUGGUUUUAUUUCGCAGCCAUUGUGUUUUUCUAACAGCUAAGUCCUAUCCAAAGUGAAUAUAUUUUCUCCUAAUAUGAGAGUUGGUUUCUGAGUUUGAUUAGUAUGAAGCAAGUCCACAGAAUCUGACUACCUUCUGAGAAGCUGAUAGAAUUGAGAGCCUGGAUUAAGAAACCUGCUAGAAACCUGACUGAGUAGCCAGAACCAGGAACCCAGUUCAGAAGCUGUCAUCACUCUGAGGUGCUGGGCUGGCGCUGGGAGACCUGCCGUUCUCCCAACUGUCUCUCUGACUUCAGAUGAGCAUGGAUGCCUCCAACUUGAAUCUAGGGUCACAAUUCUUUGUCUAAAUUACCAAAAUCUUGGAAAUUGAAGGUUAAUGUUUUGACCUUGAGGAAUAAAAAAUUUUGACAAAAUGAA